UAGGGAAUCUUCCACAAUGGACGCAAGUCUGAUGGAGCAACGCCGCGUGAGUGAAGAAGGCUUUCGGGUCGUAAAACUCUGUUAUUGAAGAAGAACGUGCGUGACAGUAACUGGUCAUGCAGUGACGGUAUUCAAUCAGAAAGUCACGGCUAACUACGUGCCAGCAGCCGCGGUAAUACGUAGGUGGCAAGCGUUGUCCGGAUUUAUUGGGCGUAAAGCGAGUGCAGGCGGUCUUUUAAGUCUGAUGUGAAAGCCUUCGGCUUAACCGAAGAAGGGCAUCGGAAACUGGGAGACUUGAGUGCAGAAGAGGAGAGUGGAACUCCAUGUG
rnacentral:rRNA from 1 species